rnacentral:lncRNA from 14 species
GCUCAGCUUCUUCUUUGCUUACAGAAUUUGGAUAUUGCUAUAUUCCCCAUGCUUCCUCAAGCAAGAAGCCUCAUGUUUGCAGACAUCACUGACCCCAGUGAGCAUAAGUUCCAUCAGUGGGAGACCAAGGUAUGGUUGUGGUGAGUGUAAGAUUGCCAAAUUGAUGUCAAGGGAAAGUAAGGACACACCUCUGCCUCAUCUGUAGAGGAAAAAGCAAACCAAUAGUCAUUAUUAGACCGCCACAUGAAAUAGAUCUUCCUAUUCAGUCAGCAGAAGAAAGAAGACCGGUCCCACACACCACUGGAUAAAUUUACUCCUAAUUUGCCAGGCAAACUUCAAAUGCUGGGCUGAAAUUUUCUAUGCUAUGGACCUUACCCCACCCUGGACCAUUUUUACUCCUAGAAUUCUCAUUCUGAAAAAAAUACUAUUUUGAAUAUGCAAAAAUAACUGUGCCAUGGCUGAAAUGUUCUCUGGGAAGGUUUAAACCCUGGAGCUCUGGAAAGGCAGGAAAAGUAUCACCUGGAAUUUUGCUGAGGAACCCCACCGCCAUGGACAGUGAGGACUGCAGCACCUGCCUUGCCCCAUGGUGGCCAACUCAACCCAGACAGGGAAUUACAGGUGUCUUCUGAUUAUAAAGCAGAGGCUCCACAGUUGUCUCUGCAUUCAUCAACAAAAGCAAGAGGAGAUGGGUGCCCUAUGUGCAUGUGAAAGGCUUGAAUAA